GGGCUUGAUUCGGCAGCACAUAUACUAAAAUCGGAACGAUACAGAGAAGAUUAGCAUGGCCCCUGAGCAAGGAUGACACGCAAAUUCAGGAUGCCUUCUACUUGUUU
ensembl:snRNA Gm22975 U6 spliceosomal RNA